GAGUUUGAUCCUGGCUCAGAAUGAACGUUGGCGGCAUGGAUUAGGCAUGCAAGUCGAGCGAGAAAUUUUAGUUUGAAGCUUCGGUUGAUUUCUAAGAUGGACAGCGGCGCAUGGGAGAGUAACGAGUAGUUAUCUACCCCCAAGUUCGGGAUAGCCUCGGGAAACUGAGUGUAAUACCGAAUAAUAUCUCCGGAUCAAAGAUGUGAUUCCGCUUGGGGAGGAGACUGCUUACUACUAGCUUGUUGGUGGGGUAAUGGCCUACCAAGGCUUUGAUGGUUAGCGGGCGUGAGAGCGUGGCCCGUCUCACUGGGACUGAAACACUGCCCAGACACCUACGGGUGGCUGCAGUCGAGAAUCUUCGGCAAUGAGCGAAAGCUUGACCGAGCGAUGCCGCGUGCGGGAUGAAGGCCUUCGGGUUGUAAACCGCCGUCAGUAGGGAGGAAGGAUUCGUGAAGAGCGAAUCUUGACCUAUCUUCAGAGGAAGUCCGGGCUAAGUUCGUGCCAGCAGCCGCGGUAACACGAACCGGACAAACGUUAUUCGGAAUUAUUGGGCUUAAAGGGUGUGUAGGCGGCAAUGUAGGUGGGGUGUGAAAUCCCUCGGCUCAACCCGAGGAACUGCGCUCCAACCACAUCGCUAGAGGGAGACAGAGGUAAGCGGAACUGAUGGUGGAGCGGUGAAAU
rnacentral:rRNA from 1 species